AACGAACGCUGGCGGCAGGCCUAACACAUGCAAGUCGAACGCCCUAGCAAUAGGGAGUGGCGCACGGGCGCGUAACGCGUGGGAAUAUGCCCUUCACUGCGGAAUAACGUUUGGAAACGAACGCUAAUACCGCAUAAUGACUCCGGUCCAAAGAUUUAUCGGUGAAGGAUUAGCCCCGCGUUAGAUUAGCUAGUUGGUGAGGUAAUGGCUCACCAAGGCGACGAUCUAUAGCUGGUCUGAGAGGAUGAUCAGCCACACUGGGACUGAGACACGGCCCAGACUCCUACGGGAGGCAGCAGUGAGGAAUAUUGGACAAUGGGCGCAAGCCUGAUCCAGCCAUGCCGCGUGAGUGAAGAAGGCCUUCGGGUUGUAAAGACUCUUUCUAGAUGUGAAGAUAAUGACGGUAGCAUCAGAAGAAGCCCCGGCUAAAUUACGUGCCAGCAGCCGCGGUAA
rnacentral:rRNA from 1 species